GACGAACGCUGGCGGCGUGCUUAACACAUGCAAGUCGAGCGGAGCGGCGAACGGGUGAGUAACGCGUGAGUAACUGCCCCCCUCUCUGGGAUAACAGUUGGAAACGGCUGCUAAUACCGGAUAGUUGGGGGGGACUCGCGUCCUAUCAGCUUGUUGGUGGGGUCGUGGCCUACCAAGGCGACGACGGGUAGCCGGCCUGAGAGGGAGACGGGCCAGAUUGGGCGGAGAGACGGCCCAAACUCCUACGGGGGGCAGCAGUGGGGAAUGUGGCACAAUGGGGGAAACCCUUGUGCAGCAACGCCGCGUGCGGGAUGACGGGCUUCGAGUUGUAAACCGCUUUCAGCAAUGACGCGGUGGUGGCAGAAGAAGCACCGGCUAACUACGUGCCAGCAGCCGCGGUAAUAC
rnacentral:rRNA from 1 species